CCUCCGCCUCCCCUGUCUUUCCGACCUCCAGAUCGCAGGCCGGCCACCGGAGUAACCGAGCGAGCUCACCUCCGCGGCGGUCCUUCCCGCGGUCGGCGAGAUCCAUCCGCAAUCUCCUCCCUCGCCCCACCUUCUAGUUCCAGAAUACCGUUCCGUUCUUUGGCGCGGCAAGCCGGAGAGCGGCCGGCGGCCACCGGAGACCGAGGCGGAUCUAGCAUGCGGCGUCGCUCCGGUGACACCCGCAGAAACCAAGCGCAAGGGUGAGGAGGCAACUCACUCGCACUCGGCUUUUAGACGGAUAAAGGCAGGAAAGGCAUCUGAUCCUGAUACCAGGUACUUCGCUCAUUCUGCAAGUAAAGGUACUUGACAGAUUAGAAGGAAGGAGUGGAGUAAUAGAGUUGGGGUGGAAUAACAGCGCAGUGCGGCACAUGUCGGUACUGUCGGGUGGCCGGAGAACAGUCGGCAUAACUCAAGGCCACCGGCGAUGCGUUUCAACAAUCGGCACCACUGCAAACUCAUUUUGGCAUUUCCAGUUGGGUGCACGAUGGUAGCUGCACGAUGCGCAUGCGGGUCUCUGAGAACGGCCUCUAUCUAUCUGGAGGGUAUACAUACAUUCAAGGCUUUGAGGAAGCAUAUCGCAAGCAAUGUCUGAAGUCGUCCCGGGCAGCUCCUGAACACACUUCUCUACAUGAAUUCUUCCAGGAUGACCAUCACUUGAUCUUCUUCUGUCGAGUACUGGGGCGUCUUGGCGGAGUGCGUGGCUGCUGCUGCUGUCAUCAUCUUUGAUUUUGGUGAAUGCACUCGUCGGCCGUGUCUGCCACUGAAUAACAGACGUGCUACGGUACAGACCUGGUGAAUAACAAACUACUUUCUCUGUAAAAAAAUAUAAGAGCGCUAAACACUCUUAUAUUUCUUUACUGAGGGAGUAUGUACUACUAGAGAAGAUUCAGAAACGCGGCAAGAUUCAGAGACCCAAGGCAUCUACAGUUUGGCCCUUCAACCAAGCAUCUAGCUUGCUUGCUACAGAAGCUCUCGUCGACUCGACCGAAGCACCAAUGCCCGUAUCAAUCAACAUUCUCAGACCUGUCACGAUGACAAAGAUUGGUCAGACUCAGAUCAGAUCUCUUCACAGAACAUAAUGGAAACUCGUGGCUCAAUGCAAGUAAGCAUCUAUUGCACACUCCUAUCUGGCGGGAUAUCUUAAAAGGUCUCGAUUUCUAGUUUUCUACCACUCCAUCACAAUGGUUCACAAUGGAAAUGGAGCAACGAUGUCCUUCUGGUCC